AGUGGUGGUGGGAGCUUGAGUGAGUGCACUAAGGGGAAGGGCCUCCGCUGCGUUUCCGUCCUUCUUCUCCGCUUGUCGGUCCAAACCUUUGCCCAUGAGCUUGUGUUAGGGUUUCUCCAUAGCCGCGUUUUUACCCCAGUGCUUGCCCGACCACCUUGACCGUGUGCGAGAGAGAGACAGAGAGAUACAAAGAGAGACAGACUGUGUGUGUGCGCGUGUGAGAGAGAGGGAGAGGGAGAGGAAGGGAGGGGGAGGGGGCACGAAGGGCUUGCACUCUGGGCCAGGUUGUGGUAAACCAUGGCAGACGGAGUGGGGCUGUUCGAGGACGGUGAUUCACCUCCGCCGCGGUCGCACACUCAUUCCCAGGCGGAUUAUGGCUAUGACGAUCACCGCGAACACGAUAGAGAUAGGAAGCGUGAGCAUCAUUCUCGCGAAUCUGGCAGAGAUAGAGAGAAAAGUCGGGAGAAAGAGAGAGAUCGUCGCCAUAGAGAUGAUCGAGAUCGUGAUAGAGACAGGGGGGACAGAGUUGACCGAGGAGAUCGAGGAGACCGAGACCGCUCCGAGCGUCAUCGUAGUCAUGAUCGAGAUAGGAGAAGCCGUGAUUACGGCGAUCGAGAUCGGAGGCACAGGCAUCGGUCUCGCUCUAAUACUCUUUCAAGGUCUCCUUCACGUGAUCGGAGAAGGUCUCGCUCCAGGUCUCCUUCUCGCGACCGUAGACGGAAGACAAGUGGUUUUGACAUGGCUCCCCCCGGCGCCACCGUUGUGGCAGGUGCUGCAAUUCCAGGACAAAUCCCUGGAAUGCCUCCAGCCAUGCCAGGAGUUUUUCCAGCAAUGUUUCCUUUUGGCGGUACACAGUUUGGAGGUCUUCCUGGAAUGCCAGCUCAAGCUAUGACUCAACAGGCUACCAGGCAUGCACGUCGCGUAUAUGUCGGUGGUUUACCACCAAUGGCAAAUGAACAGACAAUUGCGACCUAUUUCAGUCAGGUGAUGGCUGCUGUUGGAGGAAAUACCGCUGGGCCAGGUGAUGCUGUUGUUAACGUGUAUAUUAAUCAAGAAAAGAAGUUUGCCUUCGUUGAAAUGCGUACUGUCGAAGAAGCCAGUAAUGCUAUGGCCUUGGAUGGCAUUAUUUUCGAGGGAGUCUCUGUCAGGGUGCGAAGACCAAGUGAUUAUAAUCCUUCCAUGGCUGCAACGCUUGGUCCAAGUCAACCUAGCCCACAUCUCAAUCUGGCCGCAGUUGGUCUAACUCCAGGAAGUGCUGCUGGAGGUGCUGAUGGACCUGAUCGUAUAUUCGUUGGAGGUUUACCUUACUAUUUGACAGAGGUUCAGAUAAAAGAGUUACUCGAGUCAUUUGGACCUCUGCGGGGCUUUGAUCUCGUCAAAGAUCGUGACACAGGGAACUCGAAAGGUUACGGAUUCUGUGUUUACCAGGAUCCUUCAGUUGUGGAUAUUGCCUGUGCAACGCUUAAUGGCAUGAAAAUGGAUGACAAGACAUUAAACGUUCGCCGAGCCACUGCAAGUGGGCAACCAAAGCCUGACCAAGCAAAUGUUUUGGCACAUGCGCAACAGCAAAUAGCUAUACAGAAGCUGGCAUUGCAGGCUAGUGGCGCCAAUGCUGUGGCCUUGGGUGGCAUGUCAAUGUUUCCCAUGAUGGCGGGGAUGGGGAAUGGCUUCGCGUUAGAAACUCCUACCAAAGUAGUCGCUUUGACUGAGGUUGUAACACCUAACCAGUUGGAAGAUGAUGAAGAGUACCAAGAAAUUAUGGAAGACAUGGGAACCGAGUGUGGGAAGUAUGGGACUUUGGUGAAUUGUGUUAUUCCGAGACCUAGAAGUGGUGAAAAUGUUCCUGGGUUAGGCAAGGUCUUCCUUGAGUAUUCAGAUAUUGCCGGUGCUUCGAAAGCGAAGGCUUCGCUGCAUGGGCGAAGAUUCGAUGAAAACUUGGUAGUUGCUGUGUACUACCCAGAAGACAAGUUCGCAGCUGGAGAUUACGGUGGUUAAUAAAGAUUGGAUGGCGAUGUAUGGCCACAUCUUAGGGCUUUCUGAUUUGAGGGGCAUUUAUACUUCAUAGUAGUGAAAACCCUCUGCAGUGCCACAAAGAGUCUUUGUUAUAGUUUAGUUUUGUCCUUGAGGUUUGUCAGCUCCUGAAACGCGUUCUCUUCGGAUGAUCUUGUAGACCAGCUGUUUCAAAUUCUAAUGAGAAAGAAAAAGCCGAAACAGACUUUCUUUUACA